rnacentral:rRNA from 1 species
GACGAACGCUGGCGGCGUGCUUAACACAUGCAAGUCGAACGGAAAGGCCCUGCUUUUGUGGGGUGCUCGAGUGGCGAACGGGUGAGUAACACGUGAGUAACCUGCCCUUGACUUUGGGAUAACUUCAGGAAACUGGGGCUACUACCGGAUAGGAGCUCCCGCUGCAUGGUGGGGGUUGGAAAGUCUAGGCGGUUGGGGAUGGACUCGCGGCUUAUCAGCUUGUUGGUGGGGGAGUGGCUUACCAAGGCUUUGACGGGUAGCCGGCCUGAGAGGGUGACCGGCCACAUUGGGACUAAGAUACGGCCCAGACUCCUACGGGAGGCAGCAGUGGGGAAUAUUGCACAGUGGGCGGAAGCCUGAUGCAGCAACGCCGCGGGCGUGAUGACGGCCUGCGGGGUGUAAACCGCUUUCGCCUGUGACGAAGCGUGAGUGACGGUAAUGGGUAAAGAAGCACCGGCUAACUACGUG